rnacentral:rRNA from 1 species
GAAUUGCGAUAAGUAAUCGUGAAUUGCAGAAUUCAGUGAAUCAUCGAAUCUUUGAACGCACCUUGCGCUCCUUGGUAUUCCUUGGAGCAUGCCUGUUUGAGUAUCAUGAGCAAAUCUCAAAGUCGAUCCUUUUGUUAAUUCAACUGGUUUGCUUUGGAUUUGGAGGUUUUGCAGAUUUCACAGUCUGCUCCUCUUAAAUAAAUUAGCUGGAUCUCAGUAUAUGCUUGGUUCCACUCGGCGUGAUAAGUAUCACUCGCUGAGGACACUGUAAAAGGUGGCCAGGAAAUGCAGAUGAACCGCUUCUAAUAGUCCAUUAAAUUGGACAAAUUAAAUUUAUGAUCUGAUCUCAAAUCAGGUAGGACUACCCGCUGAACUUAAGCAUAUCAAUAAGCGGAGGAAAAGAAACUAACAAGGAUUCCCCUAGU